AAAGGAAUAGACGGGGGCCCGCACAAGCAGUGGAGUAUGUGGUUUAAUUCGAAGCAACGCGAAGAACCUUACCUGGGCUUGACAUCCUAAGAAUUACUGAGAGAUCAGUAAGUGCCGCAAGGAGCUUAGAGACAGGUGGUGCAUGGUUGUCGUCAGCUCGUGUCGUGAGAUGUUGGGUUAAGUCCCGCAACGAGCGCAACCCUUACUGUUAGUUGCCAUCAUUAAGUUGGGCACUCUAACGGGACUGCCGGUGACAAAUCGGAGGAAGGUGGGGACGACGUCAAAUCAUCAUGCCCCUUAUGUCCAGGGCUACACACGUACUACAAUGGUGGGAACAGAAUGAAGCAAUGCAGCGAUGCGGAGCAAAUCUUUAAAUCUCACCUCAGUUCAGAUUGCAGGCUGCAACUCGCCUGCAUGAAGUCGGAAUUGCUAGUAAUCGCGGAUCAGCAUGCCGCGGUGAAUACGUUCCCGGGCCUUGUACACACCGCCCGU
rnacentral:rRNA from 1 species